rnacentral:misc_RNA from 1 species
AGUACACUGCUCUCUCUAAAUACAAGCAGCAAACAUAGGAGAAAGUUCCACAAUUCAAUCGAACUGAAGAAGUUAAAGAAAGCCGGUACUAAUUAAUUAUAAGGAGAUGUUGUCCUUAGCCCGUGAUCUAGUUAAAGUACGUUCGAAGGGAGAUGACAGUGAAAUUAAGCCUUUAACUGUCUGCUUUUGGAGCGACUUAAUGAGUAACCCAGCUGUUAUGUAUGGAUUAUUUUCACCCAAACCAAGAAGGCUCGAUUACGAUCCGAAUAAAGUAAAAGUUAUGGGAACAAAGAAUGGAAUGAUUAACCAAAUCAAUAUAAGAACGGUGGAAGAUUUGGAUUCCAUUCAGGAAGAACUGCUCGGUAUGCCUCUUCUUCUCAGGGUUCACGCUCAAUUCGAACAACAAAAUGUACCUGCUAACGAUCAAAAAUUCGAAGGGGAUUUAGCCUUACUAGUUGAUACUUCCCAUCCGAUGAUAAGACCCGAAUUGGAAGAGGCUUUAGAGAGAGCUAGGAGAAUUUUACAAGCUAGAGGAAAAGUUUGUAUACAGUUGGACUUUGGACCUGCUAUCGACCAAUGGCUAAGAACGACUUAUCCAAAAGGUUGCUGUACUCUUGGUAAUUUGAAACCGCAUAAAGCUAGGCUUUUCAUUACUAAUUACUCCAAGCCUACCGCUUGCUUCGAUUGUACCACUCUAUGGCAUAUUUUCUUCUUAUGCUGGACAUUUAGUGCUCCGUGCUACAAGCCCUACAAAAUAAUAAGACCUAGAGGAAUGCAAUGAUAACCUUAAUUUUCUUUCGAUAAACUGCUAAAUUCCAGAAUAUCAGUAUGCUACUCAAUCAAACACAAAAAAAAAAUCCAGAAAAUACAUCUAAUUUUCGGUAAAUUGAAUUUUUGGAGCCACAAAAUGCUCUUAAAGGACUAUCGUAGGAUAUAAUUGAGGAAAAGAAAACAAAUUCUCACCAGUUCUCAUUAAAACUGUAUGAAGUAGUUACAGACUAGUAGCCAAAACAAAAAGAAACACUUUUUUUUCCAAUAUUCUCCUAUAAUCAUGAAAUAAUAUGUUGUUUUGAUAUCUUUUAGGCGUAUAGAACGUGCAAAUGUACAGACAUCAUCAUAAGGCCAACCACCCCGAUUGUUCGAAGAACAACCCUACCAUCUGGAAAAGUUGUGGAAAUAACACGGUGUAAGCCUCGUUUUGACAUCUGACCGAUAUUCUUAUUCUAAUCUCUUCCGCUCUCUGAUAAAAACACAAUUUUUUUCAACAUUUUUAUAUAAACAUUCCUCUUUUCAUUUUCUUAUUUAUAGAUGGUCUGCAUAAUGAAGUUAGCUGAAGUACUAUUUAUUAUUUAUUUUUACACGGUUAGGUUAUUUCCUUGUUGUUACAUACUAUAAGAAACCCGCGCACGGCGCCAUCUUGAUUCUGCAUUACAUGCAUGUCUCGCACAAAAAACUUUUUUAAUAGUCUUACUAAACUGAUUGCUUUUGCUUAAUUAACAUUUUAAAAGAAAAAGUAUCCUCUUCUUUUAAUUAUUAUUUCUUUUCUUUUUAUUUUUUCUAUUAACAAAAAAAAAAGAGCCGACAGCCGUCAAAAAAAAAUGUACAAAUCAACCAGAACUCUUCUCCCGUCUUCUUCAUAUAUUGUUCUAAAAAACAAAAAAAAAAACAAAAAGAAAAAAAAUAUUCCAUUCCUAAUUAUGUAUUUUUUAGUUUUUUAAUUUGCAUAAAUUAACGCUUUUCUCGUCGCUUUUCAGGAAAACUGAAUUUGGAGAUUUGUAGACCUAUACUCUGGUUAUAAAUAGGCGAAGAGCAUGACAGAAACUUAGCAACAGAUAUAAUAGCUCUGUUGCUUGAAGUGCGUUUUCUUAGAGAUUGUUUUUAGUAGAAAAAUAUUGUCUAUAACC